GAGUGGCCGUGCGCAUCAGGCAAGAAAUACUACGGCCGUGGGCCCAUCCAGCUCUCAUGGAACUACAACUAUGGCCCCACGGGGCGUGCCAUUGGGGUGGACCUGCUCAACAACCCGGACCUGGUGGCCACGGACGCGACGGUGUCGUUUAAGACGGCGUUAUGGUUUUGGAUGACGGCUCAGGCGAACAAGCCGUCGUCCCAUGCCGUGAUCACAGGCCAAUGGGCCCCGUCGGGCACGGACAACGCUGCAGGCCGGGUGCCUGGGUAUGGCGUCAUCACCAACAUUAUCAACGGCGGGCUCGAGUGCGGUAGGGGACAGGAUGACCGUGUUGCUAACCGGAUCGGGUUCUACAAGCGCUACUGCGAUGUCCUCUGCGUUGGCUAUGGUAACAACCUCGACUGCUACAACCAGAGGCCGUUUAACAGUGGGCUCUCGGUGGGGCUUGCCACUGAGUGA
rnacentral:rRNA from 1 species